rnacentral:lncRNA from 10 species
AGACUCUAUACUCUAAUUUCUCAUUUAAAAGAAAUUGGACUCUUACAAAAUAAACAUGAUAUGAACCCAGAAUUUAACUUACUAUUUUCUUACUGUUAUCCCAAAGACAUUACAUGAUAUUGAACACUUUGAGGUAAUUAUGGUACUGGGGGAGCAUAAUUGUUCCUACUAAUAGAAACAAAAUACUAAGGAUUUUUCUAGAAACUCUUAAGAGCCAUUUACCUGGCUAAGGAUUUUUCUAGAAACUGUCCUUUCAAGAGCCAUUUACCUGGAAUAAAAGUGAUGUGUAUGAUAAACAGUUGGCUAUACAGACCCAAGAUGAAAUUCAAAAUAUGACUUCUGAAAAUUCUGAAUUCAAAAUCAAGUUUUUGAUACUUUAGGAUCAGCUAGAUGAUCAUCAUAAAUUUGUCUCCUUUCCACUUCAAUUUUUUUUCAUCUUCACCAAUCUACACUAUAUUCAAGCCAACUUACCAUUUCCCUUACUCCGUUUUCCCUGCAACUUCCCUAAGCUGUUAGUGUUAUUGUACUACUCUUCUUUAUGCCACUUAGGCUUGAAUUCUUGGCCCAAUUUCUCUCACUUCUGCAUGAAGUCACCAAAUGCCAGUGAUUCUGCUUCUAACAUAUUUCAGACAUCAUUUCUGUCCAUUCCCACUACCAGAAAGAAACUCUGUGUUAGUUUUUCUUUUACCUUUAUUGACUUUUUAUAAUAGCAUUUAUGGCGUGUUGAAUUGUGGCCCCCCAAAAAUAUGUCCAAGUCUUAACCCUGGUGCCUAUAAAUGUGACCUUAUUUGGGAAAAGAGUCUCACAGAUGAAAUUAAGUUAAAGAUCUUACCCUGGAUUAACCAGGUAGAUGCUAAAUCGAAUAAAAAAGUGUCUGUACAGGAAGAGAAGAGGAGAAUCACAGAGAAGAAAGCCAUGUGAAGAUGGUAACAGACACUGGAGUCUGUAACCCCAAGUGUAAUGCGACGGGUUCUCCACCAGGUUACUUAAGGGUGUAUGUCCACUGCUUGAGCCCUGAAGACUGGGUGGUGAGCCAAGGUCAUGGUGCUCAGCCAAGGAACACCAUGUGCUGUGUUCCCUGAGAACACAAACAUUUGGGAGAGUACCUGGGGACAUACCAAGAAAAACACUCAUCACACACAGAGAAGAAAAGCCAGAAAAUUAGCUUAAAAGCAGCUUGAAGAUGGGUGGGGUAAGGGGGUGUGUGGGGCAAAUCUCCAGAGUUGUCCUGCUACCACCUAGGAAUGCCCUGUAUGUUAAGUCCUAAUAAACUCACCUACUCAUC